AAUGUGACACUUUUUUUUUUUUUUUACUUUUUAGCCUGCAUGUUAUUGGAACAUGAAAUGUGUGUAUGCUUGAUAACAAUCAUUCAAUAUGUGUCACUGAUAGACAAUGUAAAUAGCUAAUUAUAAAUUGAGCAGAAUUGUUUCUUUCCUUUUAAAAAUAUGUACUAUAUUUUAUCCAAAUUUUUUAAUGUGCAAGUAGAAUUAUAAAUAAUAUGAAGUGAAAUGUGA